UAGCUUCUCACAAUAUUCCAAAUGUGGAGC
rnacentral:piRNA from 1 species